rnacentral:rRNA from 1 species
UGCAAGCGGUAGCGGAGCGUUCCGUAAGCCGAUGAAGCCGUACCUGUGAGGGGCGGUGGAGGUAUCGGAAGUGCGAAUGCUGACAUGAGUAACGUAAGGGGUGUGAGAGACGCCCCCGCCGAAAGUCCAAGGGUUCCUGCUUAAAGUUAAUCUGAGCAGGGUUAGCCGGCCCCUAAGUCGAGGCAGACAUGCGUAGACGAUGGGAACCACGUUAAUAUUCGUGGGCCUGUGGGUAGUGACGGAUCAUGUGUGUUGUCAGGUCUUAUCGGAUUGAUCUGGCGGCGAAGUGGUCCCAGGAAAUAGCUCCCACUUAUAGACCGUACCCGAAACCGACACUGGUGGACUGGUAGAGUAUACCAAGGCGCUUGAGAGAACUAUGCUGAAGGAACUCGGCAAAUUGCACGCGUAACUUCGGAAGAAGCGUGACCCCUUUGCACGCAAGUGUGAGGGGGUGGCACAGACCAGGGGGUAGCGACUGUUUAUCAAAAACACAGGGCUCUGCGAAGUCGCAAGACGACGUAUAGGGUCUGACGCCUGCCCGGUGCUGGAAGGUUAAGAGGAGGGGUGCAAGCUCUGAAUCGAAGCCCCAGUAAACGGCGGCCGUAACUAUAACGGUCCUAAGGUAGCGAAAUUCCUUGUCGGGUAAGUUCCGACCUGCACGAAUGGCGUAACGACUUCCCCGCUGUCUCCAGCAUAGACUCAGUGAAAUUGAAUUCCCCGUGAAGAUGCGGGGUUCCUGCGGUUAGACGGAAAGACCCCGUGCACCUUUACUAUAGCUUUACAUUGGCAUUCGUAGUGGCAUGUGUAGGAUAGGUGGUAGGCUUUGAAGCCAGGGCGCCAGCCUUGGUGGAGCCACCCUUGAAAUACCACCCUUAUCUCUAUGGAUGUCUAACCGCGGCCCGUCAUCCGGGUCCGGGACAAUGUAUGGUGGGUAGUUUGACUGGGGCGGUCGCCUCCUAAAGAGUAACGGAGGCGCGCGAUGGUGGGCUCAGACCGGUCGGAAAUCGGUCGCUGAGUGCAAUGGCAUAAGCCUGCCUGACUGCGAGACUGACAAGUCGAGCAGAGACGAAAGUCGGUCAUAGUGAUCCGGUGGUCCCGUGUGGAAGGGCCAUCGCUCAACGGAUAAAAGGUACGCCGGGGAUAACAGGCUGAUGACCCCCAAGAGUCCAUAUCGACGGGGUUGUUUGGCACCUCGAUGUCGACUCAUCGCAUCCUGGGGCUGGAGCAGGUCCCAAGGGUAUGGCUGUUCGCCAUUUAAAGCGGUACGUGAGUUGGGUUCAGAACGUCGUGAGACAGUUCGGUCCCUAUCUGCCGUGGGUGUAGGAAUAUUGACAGGAUCUGUCCCUAGUACGAGAGGACCGGGAUGGACGUAUCUCUGGUGGACCUGUUGUGGCGCCAGCCGCAUUGCAGGGUAGCUAUAUACGGACGGGAUAACCGCUGAAGGCAUCUAAGCGGGAAACCCACCUGAAAACGAGUAUUCCCUGAGAGCCGUGGAAGACGACCACGUUGAUAGGCCGAGUGUGGAAGCGCAGCAAUGUGUGAAGCUUAUCGGUACUAAUAGCUCGAUUGGCUUGAUCGUUCUCAUUAU